rnacentral:rRNA from 1 species
CCUACGGGAGGCAGCAGUGGGGAAUUUUGGACAAUGGGCGAAAGCCUGAUCCAGCAAUGCCGCGUGAGUGAAGAAGGCCUUCGGGUUGUAAAGCUCUUUUGUCAGGGAAGAAACGGUGAGAGCUAAUAUCUUUUGCUAAUGACGGUACCUGAAGAAUAAGCACCGGCUAACUACGUGCCAGCAGCCGCGGUAAUACGUAGGGUGCAAGCGUUAAUCGGAAUUACUGGGCGUAAAGCGUGCGCAGGCGGUUUUGUAAGUCUGAUGUGAAAUCCCCGGGCUCAACCUGGGAAUUGCAUUGGAGACUGCAAGGCUAGAAUCUGGCAGAGGGGGGUAGAAUUCCACGUGUAGCAGUGAAAUGCGUAGAUAUGUGGAGGAACACCGAUGGCGAAGGCAGCCCCCUGGGUCAAGAUUGACGCUCAUGCACGAAAGCGUGGGGAGCAAACAGGAUUAGAUACCCUGGUAGUCCACGCCCUAAACGAUGUCUACUAGUUGUCGGGUCUUAAUUGACUUGGUAACGCAGCUAACGCGUGAAGUAGACCGCCUGGGGAGUACGGUCGCAAGAUUAAAACUUAAAGGAAAUUGACGG